ACUCCUACGGGAGGCAGCAGUGGGGAAUAUUGGACAAGGGGGCCAAGCCUGAUCCAGCAAUGCCGCGUGGGUGAAGAAGGCCAACGGGUUGUAAAGCCCUUUAGGUGGGGAAGAAGUAUGGGGUGCGAACAGUGCUCUAUUUUGACAUUACCCACAGAAUAAGCACCGGCUAACUCCGUGCCAGCAGCCGCGGUAAU
rnacentral:rRNA from 1 species